CAGGUGUUGUGAUCUGGAGAAGCUCAAGUAGUCAUCUUCGUCCAUCACGUCACUGCAUACGCAUACGCCUCUGAUUUUUGGCUCCUGCUCAAAGGAAUAGGAACGUUUCCCGCAAAAAAAAAGGAAUAGGAAUGUGCUCCUCCCAAAAGACAAUAAAAAUCCAGCACCAACAAUGAAUAGCCGGAGUAAACAAAACAAGCAGACCAAAUCGUGUCGGCCCUCGAGGAAGGGUUGCAGUGUCGAGGAGCAGCAGGCAUGUAAAUCUGACUGCAAUUCAUGUCACGGUGGAUGGUUGAGAGGAGGGAGGCAGAGCAGAGACAAACGGCGCAUUCCGCCAUGCAUGUGUGUGGAUUUGUAUCAUCCUACUACUGUGUUGCUUUGUUUUACAGUAAUAAAUAAAGAGAUGAAUCAGAUUUUCUUUGGUUCGUUAGCAAAAUUUUACA